UGGGGGAAUAUUGCACAAUUGGGGAAACCCUGAUGCAGCGACGCCGCGUGAGCGAAGAAGUAUUUCGGUAUGUAAAGCUCUAUCAGCAGGGAAGAAAAUGACGGUACCUGACUAAGAAGCCCCGGCUAACUACGUGCC
rnacentral:rRNA from 1 species